rnacentral:tRNA from 1 species
GGCUCCGUGGCACAAUGGAUAGUGCAUUGGACUUCUAAUUCAAAGGUCCAGGUUCGAGUCCCGGCGGAGUCG